CCUACGGGCGGCAGCAGUGGGGGAUAUUGCACAAUGGGGGGAACCCUGAUGCAGCGACGCCGCGUGGGUGAAGGAGCGUUUCGGCGCGUAAAGCCCUAUCGGCAGGGAAGAAGGAGGACGGUACCUGACUAAGAAGCCCCGGCUAACUACGUGCCAGCAGCCGCGGUAAUACGUAGGGGGCAAGCGUGAUCCGGAAUUACUGGGGGGACAGGGGGCGCAGACGGCAGCGCAAGCCAGGCGGGAAAGCCCGGGGCCCAACCCCGGGACUGCGCUUGGAACUGCGCGACUGGAGUGCGGGAGGGGCAGGGGGAAUUCCUGGUGUAGCGGUGAAAUGCGUAGAUAUCAGGAGGAACACCGGUGGCGAAGGCGGCCAGCUGGACUGCGACUGACGUUGAGGCCCGAAAGCGUGGGGAGCAAACAGGAUUAGAUACCCUAGUAGUC
rnacentral:rRNA from 1 species